CGCACAUUGCGCCCGCUAGUAUUCUGGCGGGCACGCCUGUCCGAGCGUCAUUUCAACCCUCGAGCUCCGCUCGGCGUUGGGGCCCUACGGCCGCCGUAGGCCCCUAAAACCAUUGGCGGGCUCGCCAGCACCCCGAGCGCAGUAAUUCUACAACGCUCGCGGCGGGCUGGCGCGUCCACGGCCGUUAAACCCCCAAUUUAUCAAGGUUGACCUCGGAUCAGGUGGGAAUACCCGCUGAACUUAA
rnacentral:misc_RNA from 1 species